rnacentral:tRNA from 1 species
GGGAGCUGCGCUAGAGUGGUACUGCCAGCACUUUUCUACGUGCGCGACCGUUCUUGAACCCGUAUGUCCCGUCCUUGAAAGCGGGCGUCCGAAAGGACCGGGGGUUCGAAUCCCCCCGCUUCCGCCA